GGAAGGUAUGCCAAAUAGGUUAUGGCAGUAGUCCUGAAAACUAUCGCGCUUUUGUCGCUUGCGGGUUCGAGUCCUGCGCCUUCCGCCA
rnacentral:tRNA from 1 species